rnacentral:lncRNA from 1 species
GCUUCAGUAGGAGCAACAUGUUUGUGUGACUCCUGUCAAAAUGACUUCACCUAAAGUAAGCAGUCUCGUGGGAUCAUGUUUAUCAGAAACGUGUUUUUCCUAGUUAUCUGUAUCCUGCUGAGUGUCUGACAACUCCACCCUUGAUGAGGGUGACGUUCCCCCCAUGGUGGUGGUUGAAAAGAUGAGGAUCCAAGUCCUUCCUCUGGUGGUGUUUGAAUUUCACUGAGUGGGAGGAGAAAAGGAAAGAUGAACAGAUACUGGACUUCAAGCAAUUGUGCGGUGUGGCUGUGUUAGAGAAGUGUCAGGCACGUUGAGAGUGUUCUGAGUGGUGGCAUCUUACUAAAGCAAUCCAAAGGACUACGGGUUUAAAUGAAAGAUAAAUGCAAUCUGUAGGGAAGGACUGUUGUGGUUAUUCCAGUGGCCCGUGCAGCAAGCCCUGGAGUAACCUUGAUCUUUGUCCUAGUUUCUGGCUUGUUCUCGUCCUACCUGAGUCUGAGCCUGGGAACUGGAGGAGUGGCCCUGGUGUGUUCACUCCUUUGAUUCUGGAACUUCCUUCUUGUCUCUCAAAAGUGUUUGUGACAUAGAAUUUCCAUUUUCUAAUAUAAAAAAUGUACAGAGUAUAUUUGUAUAUUUGUUUGAUAGAAGACCCUUAAAUGUUUGGAGACACCCACCUCAUCUCUAUGUAGGUUCUUAAGAGCCAUUUUUGGCUAGAAGAAAAGAGUGAAUAAUUAGAUGUUACCUUUAUAAGAACUCUUUUCAAUUCUGUUUUGGGGACCACUUGAUAUAGUACAUCUC